UCAUAAGUUAGACGACAAGAGGAACCGCUUUAAAAAAUAAGCAAUGAUAUUUCAGUGUUAAACUAUAUGGCGAGUGACAGAAAAUCGGAGGCCCCGACUGUUUACUAAAAACACAAUUUUCAGCAAUGAUGAAUAUCAUAGUAUUGAAGAUGAAAUUUGCUCGAUGCCAAUAAUAUAACCUUUUACCCUGAAUUUUAUUUUUUUACUUUAAUAGAAUUUAACCUUUUAAACUAUGCGUAUGGAUAUUUAGACCUACUUGUAUUAGGAAACUCAUACAACCCAGACCCCUACCUUAAAUUAAUUUACUGGGUAAUUCUAGGUUUAACCUAGAAUUUGGUGCUUAAUUAAUUUAAGUUUAAGUUUAUUUAUUCCCUAACCGCCUUAAUAAUUUUAUUCUAUUUAAGCAAUUCUAAAAUAGGGAGGAGAGGGAAGUUCUGGUGAAUGGCGGUCUUAACUAUGAGGAUCCUAAGGUAGCAAAAUAAAUUGGCCAUUAAAUGUGGUCCGGUAUCAAUAAUGUAACGAUGGCCUCACUGUCUCUACAACUUGCUCAGUGAAAUUGAAUUGCACGUGCAGAUGCGUGCGACCUUUAGGGGGACGGGAAGACC
rnacentral:rRNA from 1 species